rnacentral:sRNA from 1 species
CAAUAGACUGCGUUAAGGAUUGAAGUGGCAUCCUUUUUUUUGCUGCCAUAAAUGGCAAAAAAAAGAUAUAACGGAAAGCCUGACCUUUA